rnacentral:rRNA from 1 species
AUUGAACGCUGGCGGCAUGCCUUACACAUGCAAGUCGAACGGUAACGCGGGGCAACCUGGCGACGAGUGGCGAACGGGUGAGUAAUAUAUCGGAACGUGCCCAAUAGUGGGGGAUAGCCCGGCGAAAGCCGGAUUAAUACCGCAUACGACCUGAGGGUGAAAGCGGGGGAUCGCAAGACCUCGCGCUAUUGGAGCGGCCGAUAUCAGAUUAGGUAGUUGGUGGGGUAAAGGCCUACCAAACCUGCGAUCUGUAGCUGGUCUGAGAGGACGACCAGCCACACUGGGACUGAGACACGGCCCAGACUCCUACGGGAGGCAGCAGUGGGGAAUUUUGGACAAUGGGCGCAAGCCUGAUCCAGCCAUGCCGCGUGCGGGAAGAAGGCCUCGG